rnacentral:rRNA from 1 species
GAUUUCUGGGCAUCAGUUUCUGGCCGGCCACGGUUUCGUGUGUUAGUGCUUGAAGCUUUGUCCAUCCUUCCAAUUGCUGGUUGCUAUUCUUCAUUGAUUGGUAACUAGUAUUGGAUCUUUUACUUUGAAAAAAUUAGAGUGUUUCAAGCAGGCUUUAUGCUAUGAAUACAUUAGCAUGGAAUAAUAAUUUAGGACUUCGGUUCUAUUUUGUUGGUUUCUAGGACUGAAGUAAUGAUUGAUAGGGAUAGUUGGGGGUGCUAGUAUUCAGCGGCCAGAGGUGAAAUUCUCGGAUUCGCUGAAGACUAACUUAUGCGAAAGCAUU